UUCAUACUCCCUCCGAUCCAUAUUAAUUGUUGAAAUAUUACAUGUAUCUAGACACACUUUAGGCAUAGAUACAUCCAUAUUUUGGAAAAUUUGAGACAACUAAUAUGGAUCGGAGGGAGUAGUGA
rfam:Brachypodium distachyon strain Bd21 chromosome 5, whole genome shotgun sequence.